AUUGAACGCUGGCGGCAGGCCUAACACAUGCAAGUCGAGCGAGCGGCGGACGGGUGAGUAAUGUCUGGGAAACUGCCUGAUGGAGGGGGAUAACUACUGGAAACGGUAGCUAAUACCGCAUACCAUCAGAUGUGCCCAGAUGGGAUUAGCUAGUAGGUAGGGUAACGGCUCACCUAGGCGACGAUCCCUAGCUGGUCUGAGAGGAUGACCGGCCACACUGGAACUGAGACACGGACCAAACUCCUACGGGAGGCAGCAGUGGGGAAUAUUGCACAAUGGGCGCAAGCCUGAUGCAGCAAUGCCGCGUGUAUGAAGAAGGCGUUCGGGUUGUAAAGUACUUUCAGCGGGGAGGCGUUACCCGAAGAAAAAGCCCCGGCUAACUACGUGCCAGCAGCCGCGGUAAUUC
rnacentral:rRNA from 1 species